GAAGAAGCAGGACCAGAAAACCAACUACCCAAACGACCAAGAUGCCUGGGGCCAGAGUGGUCCUUGAAGCACUAGGCUCUGGGCCCACAGGAUUGACUCUUGUCCUGAAGGAACCAAAAAGAGCGACAAUAAAAACAGGGAGAUGAGUUGUCUAGCAAUGCUGGUGGUCCACGGCCCUGUCACCAUCAAACAGCAAACCCCCUGGGUCCUCCCAAGGAUGGCACUGCAAGGGUCCCCUGUAGGAACCCAGGGAGGAACAGUGUCCUCUGAAGCUGUGCCCAGUCGGCCUGCUUGUCUGGUUCCUGUCGCAACCACUGACAACCCGUCCAUGUUCCUAUCAAAGAAGCAAAAUGAAAACACCUUUACCAUCAUUUUUCUACAAAAAGGUAAGGCAAACGACAAAUCACUGUGUCCCAAAUUUGAUCACUAAUAAUGUGGUAAUUACUAUAGUAAAUAUGAAAAAUAGUAAAAUCUAAGAUCAUCUUGUUCUUUCCAUUAACUCACAUCCCUCAAAAAGCAUUUUGACCCUUUGGUGAUCUGGCUCAGCAUUGGAAGAAGAAUCACAGGUGAUCAAUAAAAAUUGUUUAUGUAACUUACAUUCGGUGUGAACUUGCACCUGAGGAUGAGUACUCAAAGGCAAACUGCAGCUAUUUACCGAACGGUGAUAUUUUGGUUCAGAUCAUUGUCUAAACUGAAUUACGAAUGUUAAAAAUAAACAUCUUUUUCAACAAA